rnacentral:rRNA from 1 species
GAUGAACGCUGGCGGCGUGCCUAACACAUGCAAGUCGAACGGGGGUAGCAAUACUCCAGUGGCGCACGGGUGAGUAACACGUAGCUAACCUGCCUCAGUAGCGUGGGAUAACGUCUCGAAAGGGAUGCUAAUACCACAUAUGCUCACGGGAAGCAGAGGCCUGUGAGAAAAGGCGAAAGCCGCUUUGAGAUGGGGCUGCUGCCCAUCACGUACUUGGUAGGGUAUAGGCCUACCAAGCCGACGACAGGUAGGGGGCCUGAGAGGGUGGACCCCCACACUGCGACUGAGAGACGGCCCAGACUCCUACAGGAGGCAGCAGUGAGAGAAUAUUGGUCAAUGGGCGCAAGCCUGAACCAGCGACGCCGCGUGUACGAAGAACGUUUUCGGAUCGUAAAGUCCUUUUCUGCGUGAAGAGGAAGGACAGUAGCGCAGGAAUAAGUCUCGGCUAACUACGUGCCAGCAGCCGCGGUAAAACGUAGGAGACAAGCGUUAUCCGGAGUUACUGGGCGUAAAGGGCGUGCAGGCAGCCUGAUAAGUCUAUUGUGAAAGCUCCCUGGCUAAACCGGGAGAGGUCAGUAGAUACUGUUGAGCUAGAGGACGGUAGAGGCGGGUGGAAUUCCGGGUGUAGUGGUAAAAUGCGUAGAUAUCCGGAGGAACACCAGAGGCGAAGGCGACCCGCUGGGCCGUACCUGACGAUAAGACGCGACAGCAUGGGGAGCGANNGGNAUUAGAAACCCCGGUAGUCCAUCCCGUAAUAGAUGCCAGCUAGACGUUGUGACCCCGAAAGGGGUGGGGGUGUCGAAGCCAACGCGAUAAGCUGGCCGCCUGGGGAGUACGUCGCAAGGCUAGAACUCAAAGGAAUCGACGGGGGCCCGCACAAGCAGCGGAGAGUGUGGUGUAAUUAGCGGUUACAGGAAGAACCAUACCUGGGUUAGACAUCACGGUGGUAGUGAACCGAAAGGGGAACGACAUACGGGAGCCGUGACAGGUGCUGCAUGGCUGUCGUCAGCUCGUGUCGUGAGAUGUUCGGUUGAGUCCGCAAAUGAGCGCAACCCUUGCUGUUAGUUACAAGUGUCUAACGGGACUGCCCGUGAGAAACGGGAGGAAGGUGGGGAUGACGUCAAGUCAGCAUGGCCUUUAUAUCCAGGGGUACACACACGCUACAAUGGGCGGUACAAUGGGUCGCGAAGCCGCGAGGCGGAGCCAAUCCUGAAAGCCGUUUGUAGUUUGGAUUGCAGGUUGCAACUCGCAUGCAUGAAGCCGGAGUUGCUAGUAACCGCGCGUCAGCCAUAGUGCGGUGAAUACGUUCCCGGGCCUUGUACACACCGCCCGUCACGUCAUGGGAGCUGGUCACGCCUGAAGUCGGGAAGCUAACCGCGAGGGGGCUACCGCCGAGGGCAGGGCCGGUGACUGGGACG